UACGUAGGGUGCAAGCGUUGUCCGGAAUUAUUGGGCGUAAAGAGCUCGUAGGCGGUCUGUCGCGUCGGCUGUGAAAUCCCGAGGCUCAACCUCGGGUCUGCAGUCGAUACGGGCAAACUUGAGUGUUGCAGGGGAGACUGGAAUUCCUGGUGUAGCGGUGAAAUGCGCAGAUAUCGGAAGGAACAUCGAUGGCGAAGGCAGGUCUCUGGGCAUUAACUGACGCUGAGGAGCGAAAGCAUGGGGAGCGAACAGG
rnacentral:rRNA from 1 species